rnacentral:misc_RNA from 1 species
UUUCCGUAGGUGAACCUGCGGAAGGAUCAUUCAUAAUAAGUGUUUUAUGGCACUUUUUUAAAUCCAUAUCCACCUUGUGUACAAUGUCAGGGUUGAUUUUUCUCUCGAGAGGAUCAGCCCCAAACAUCAACUAUAUCUCAACUCUUUGUCUGAAAAUAUUAUGAAUAAAACAAUUCAAAAUACAACUUUCAACAACGGAUCUCUUGGCUCUC